UGUGCCCUACGGGAGGCAGCAGUGAGGAAUAUUGGUCAAUGGGCUAAGGCCUGAACCAGCCAAGUCGCGUGAGGGAAGACGGUCCUAUGGAUUGUAAACCUCUUUUGUCGGGGAGCAACGAGGCCACGUGUGGCCGAAGUGAGAGUACCCGAAGAAAAAGCAUCGGCUAACUCCGUGCCAGCAGCCGCGGUAAUACGGAGGGUGCGAGCGUUAAUCGGAAUUACUGGGCGUAAAGCGCUCGUAGGCGGUAUGUCAAGUCAAGGGUGAAAUCCCCGCGCUCAACGUGGGAACUGCCUUUGAAACUG
rnacentral:rRNA from 1 species